rnacentral:rRNA from 1 species
GACGGAGGGUGCAAGCGUUGUUCGGAAUUACUGGGCGUAAAGCGUACGUAGGCGGCGGAUUAAGUCGAAUGUUAAAGCCUGGGGCUCAACCCCAGAGAUGCAUUCGAUACUGGUCUGCUAGAGGGUGAUAGAGGAAAGCGGAAUUCCCAGUGUAGCGGUGAAAUGCGUAGAUAUUGGGAGGAACAUCAGUAGCGAAGGCGGGUCUCUGGACAGUUCCUGACGCUGAGGCACGAAGGUCAGGGGAGCAAACGGGG